UACAGAGGGUGCGAGCGUUAAUCGGAAUUACUGGGCGUAAAGCGCGUGUAGGCGGCCAAGCAAGUCGGAUGUGAAAGCCCUCGGCUCAACCGGGGAAGUGCACUCGAAACUGCAUGGCUAGAGUCUCGGAGAGGAUCGUGGAAUUCUCGGUGUAGAGGUGAAAUUCGUAGAUAUCGAGAGGAACACCCGUGGCGAAGGCGGUUCUCUGGGACGGUACUGACGCUGAGACGCGAAAGCGUGGGGAGCGAACAGG
rnacentral:rRNA from 1 species